rnacentral:misc_RNA from 1 species
UUUCCGUAGGUGAACCUGCGGAAGGAUCAUUCAUAAUAAGUGUUUUAUGGCACUUUUUUAAAUCCAUAUCCACCUUGUGUGCAAUGUCAGGGUUGAUUUUUCUCUCGAGAGGAUCAACCCCAAACAUCAACUAUAUCUCAACUCUUUGUCUGAAAAAUAUUAUGAAUAAAACAAUCCAAAAUACAACUUUCAACAACGGAUCUCUUGGCUCUC